GACGAACGCUGGCGGCGUGCCUAAUACAUGCAAGUAGAACGCUGAAGAGAGGAGCUUGCUCUUCUUGGAUGAGUUGCGAACGGGUGAGUAACGCGUAGGUAACCUGCCUUGUAGCGGGGGAUAACUAUUGGAAACGAUAGCUAAUACCGCAUAACAAUAGGUGACACAUGUCAUUUAUUUGAAAGGGGCAAUUGCUCCACUACAAGAUGGACCUGCGUUGUAUUAGCUAGUAGGUGAGGUAACGGCUCACCUAGGCGACGAUACAUAGCCGACCUGAGAGGGUGAUCGGCCACACUGGGACUGAGACACGGCCCAGACUCCUACGGGAGGCAGCAGUAGGGAAUCUUCGGCAAUGGGGGCAACCCUGACCGAGCAACGCCGCGGGAGUGAAGAAGGGUUUCGGAUCGUAAAGCUCUGUUGUAAGUCAAGAACGAGUGUGAGAGUGGAAAGUUCACACUGUGACGGUAGCUUACCAGAAAGGGACGGCUAACUACGUG
rnacentral:rRNA from 1 species